rnacentral:snRNA from 1 species
GGAUGUGAGGGCGAUCUGGCUGCGACAUCUGCCGCCCCAUUGAUCGCCAGGGUUGAUUCAGCCGAUCUGGCUGGCUAGGCGGGUGUCCCCUUCCUCCCUCGCUGCUUCAUGUGUGUCCCUGAAAAGAGGAGGACCGAUAUUCAGUCAAGGGUAAAGGAGCAGCUGCGUUCCCCUACUAGAACCUCCAAACAAGCUUUCAAAGAGUGGACAACAAUUGAGGAAAACCUCCAGUGUUGAGCAAUGGUCUCCACAUGCAUCCACACAUACAUACAACCAUGCAAUAU